GCCUAAAAUCUAGCCCACAUCAUGUAUCACCACCCCCCACCCCGCAGUAACCCCAAUAAAACAUUUUAUUAUUUUAGUACAGGCGAUAGAAAAAUUUAAAGGCGCUUCAGAUAAAGUACCGCAAGGGAAAAAUGAAAUAAUAAUGAAAUAACGUUAAAGCACCUAAAAGCAGAGACACUCCCUCGUACCUUUUGCAUCAUGGUCUAGCCAGUUUCUUCAAGCAAAAUGAAUUAUAGUUUGACCCCCCGAAACUAACGCGAGCUACUUCAAAACAGCCCUAAGAGCCAACCCGUCUCUGUUGCAAAAGAGUGGGAAGAUUUUCAAGUAGAGGUGACAAGCCUACCGAGCUUAGAGAUAGCUGGUUGUUCAAGAAAAGAGUUUUAGCUCAGCCUUAAGCUUACUUAUUAUACCAAACAUAAAUCCUAAACUUAAGAGUAAUUCAAAUAGGGCACAGCUUAUUUGAAAAGGAGUACAAUCCCAAAUACCGGGUAAGCCCGGGCAACGUAAAUAAAGUAGGCCUAAAAGCAGCCACCUUACACAAAAGCGUCAAAGCUUAAGAUAUCGUGCCCCCAAUACCAUAAAUCAUCCCCCAACCCUUCAACACCACUGAACUAUUUUAUAAACAUAUAAAAGCUAUUAUGCUAGAACUAGUAACAAGAAAUAGACUUUCUCCUCAAUGCACGCUUGAACCUAAUCGGACCACCCAUUGGCAAUUAACGUUAAUGUAAAAAUUAUAGCAUAUUCAGCUAGCAAACCCUAUUACACCUCAACGUCUACCUAACACCAGAGCAUUAAAGAAAAGAUUAAAAAAGAAAGAAGGAACUCGGCAAAUACUAGCCCCGCCUGUUUACCAAAAACAUCGCCUCUUGCCCAAAUAUAAGAGGUCCAGCCUGCCCAGUGAUAUAAUUUAACGGCCGCGGUACCCUAACCGUGCGAAGGUAGCAUAAUCACUUGUUCUCUAAAUAAGGACUAGUAUCAACGGCAUCACGAGGGCUAUACUGUCUCCUUUCUUAAAUCAGUGAAACUGAUUCUCCCGUGAAGAAGCGGGAAUACCCCUAUAAGACGAGAAGACCCCAUGGAGCUUUAAACUCACGCACACCCCCUGAGUACCUCAACCCCCGGGACCAAUUUAAAUUGUGCGCUAGUUUUGGGUUGGGGAGACCGCGGAGUAAAACUUAACCUCCACAACAAACGGAUUAACACCCUUAUCUAAGAACCACACCUCUAAGAAUCAACAAACUGAUGUCCCAUGACCCAUUUUAUGAUCAAUGAACCAAGUUACCCUGGGGAUAACAGCGCAAUCUACUUCGAGAGCCCAUAUCGACAAGUAGGUUUACGACCUCGAUGUUGGAUCAGGGUAUCCCAGUGGUGCA
rnacentral:rRNA from 1 species